AAGUCGUAACAAGGUCUCCGUUGGUGAACCAGCGGAGGGAUCAUUACCGAGUUUACAACUCCCAAACCCAAUGUGAACGUUACCAAACUGUUGCCUCGGCGGGAUCUCUGCCCCGGGUGCGUCGCAGCCCCGGACCAAGGCGCCCGCCGGAGGACCAACCAAAACUCUUAUUGUAUACCCCCUCGCGGGUUUUUCACUAUCUGAGCCAUCUCGGCGCCCCUCGUGGGCGUUUCGAAAAUGAAUCAAAACUUUCAACAACGGAUCUCUUGGUUCUG
rnacentral:misc_RNA from 1 species